rnacentral:rRNA from 1 species
GAUGAACGCUUGCGGCAGGCUUAAUACAUGCAAGUCGAGGGGCAGCAUGAUUGUAGCAAUACAAUUGAUGGCGACCGGCAAACGGGUGCGGAACACGUACACAACCUUCCAAUAAGUGGGGAAUAGCCCAGAGAAAUUUGGAUUAAUACCCCGUAACAUAACGAUGUGGCAUCACAUUGUUAUUAUAGAUUUUUCGCUUAUUGAUGGGUGUGCGGCUGAUUAGAUAGUUGGCGGGGUAACGGCCCACCAAGUCUACGAUCAGUAGCUGAUGUGGGAGCAUGAUCAGCCACACGGGCACUGAGACACGGGCCCGACUCCUACGGGAGGCAGCAGUAAGGAAUAUUGGACAAUGGACGCAAGUCUGAUCCAGCCAUGCCGCGUGAAGGAUUAAGGUCCUCUGGAUUGUAAACUUCUUUUAUAAGGGACGAAAAAAGGCUUUUCUAAGUCGUCUGACGGUACCUUAUGAAUAAGCACCGGCUAACUCCGUGCCAGCAGCCGCCGUAACAC